AUACGGAGGAUCCGAGCGUUAUCCGGAUUUAUUGGGUUUAAAGGGUGCGUAGGUGGUUUGAUAAGUCAGCGGUGAAAGUUUGCAGCUUAACUGUAAAAAUGCCGUUGAAACUGUCGGACUUGGGUGUAACUGAGCUAGUCGGAAUUCGUGGUGUAGCGGUGAAAUGCAUAGAUAUCACGCAGAACUCCGAUUGCGAAGGCAGCUUACUAAGCUACAACUGACACUGAAGCACGAAAGCGUGGGGAUCAAACAGGAUUAGAUACCCUGGUAGUCCACGCAGUAAACGAUGAUUACUAGCUGUUUGCGAUACACAGUAAGCGGCACUGCGAAAGCGUUAAGUAAUCCACCUGGGGAGUACGCCGGCAACGGUGAAACUCAAAUGAAUUGACGGGG
rnacentral:rRNA from 1 species